rnacentral:rRNA from 1 species
CAGCAGCCGCGGUAAUACGUAGGUCCCGAGCGUUGUCCGGAUUUAUUGGGCGUAAAGCGAGCGCAGGCGGUUAGAUAAGUCUGAAGUUAAAGGCUGUGGCUUAACCAUAGUACGCUUUGGAAACUGUUUAACUUGAGUGCAAGAGGGGAGAGUGGAAUUCCAUGUGUAGCGGUGAAAUGCGUAGAUAUAUGGAGGAACACCGGUGGCGAAAGCGGCUCUCUGGCCUGUAACUGACGCUGAGGCUCGAAAGCGUGGGGAGCAAACAGGAUUAGAUACCCCCGUAGUCCCUGUCUCUUAUACA